CCUACGGGAGACAGCAGUGAGGAAUAUUGGUCAAUGGCCGCAAGCCUGAACCAGCCAAGUCGCGUGAAGGAUGACUGCCCUACGGGUUGUAAACUUCUUUUGUCAAGGAAUAAAGUCAGGCACGUGUGCCUGUUUGUGUGUACUUUAUGAAUAAGGAUCGGCUAACUCCGUGCCAGCAGCCGCGGUAAUACGGAGGAUCCGAGCGUUAUCCGGAUUUAUUGGGUUUAAAGGGAUCGUAGAUGGGUUGUUAAGUCAGUCGGGAAAGUUUGGGGCUCAACCAUAGGCUGGCAGUUGAACCUGGCAGUCUUGAGUAGACGAGAGGUAGGCGGAAUGCGUGGUGUAGCGGUGAAAUGCUUAGAUAUCACGCAGAACUCCGAUUGCGAAGGCAGCAUACCAACGUGCCACUGACACUGAUGCACGAAAGUGUGGGUAUCGAACAGGAUUAGAUACCCUAGUAGUC
rnacentral:rRNA from 1 species